CUGUGCUCAUUUAUUUCCUGUGUGAGUGAGACAGUUCACUUCAGCUCAAGGGUACCAGGCACUGCUUAGGCACGCGAGACACGGACGUUUAAUAUUCAUGAGGUGACGUAACAACCGAUAUAAGGAAGUUCUUGUUCCCUUUAAAACCUGAGAGGGAGGAAGACUGGAUGCUGCUGAAGAAAAGCUGGUGGAAAUGCAGAGUCAUUCCUCCACACUAUUGUGCAUUAAUUGAUUCGAAAGGGCUCAGUCUUUCAGGAAAGCUGGCUGUCAUCGAGACCAGAGGAAGGACACGUGAAGCGUCCAGCUGUAUCAUUUAUAUGCCGUUCACAGCAGGUUUAGCCGACUUGAGGCGUGGCUGGCGGCGGUAUGUCUGGUAGUAGAAAUUGGCAAACAGGAUGAUGAAUGUGACGGCGUAGCCAAUCAGAGCCCACUGCAUCCAGGCCGGGAAUGGGCAG